AUUAAGAUGGCAGAGCCUGGCAAUUGCAUAAGACUUAAAACCUUACUUUCAGAGGUUCAACUCCUCUUCUUAAUA
rnacentral:tRNA from 1 species